AGAUGUCGUUAUUCACAGCAGGGUUGGGGUACUUGGGGUACCGCGCUAGGAAUUUGUGGCAUAGCAACCCCAAGCUCUUCUCCUUCCGACUCGGCUGGGAUUUCUCAAAUUCGUCUCCUGAUAAGUGUUCCUGCAGAGGGAAAGAAGUGGAGUCUGAAUUCUGUCAUUGUGUGAGUGUGCGUAGCAUCUACAACGGUUCUAGAACUGAGGUCACGUCCUCUUGUGCUUAUCAGGAGGGUGGAAGGACAGUUUUCCCAGUUCCAGGACACGGCAGAAGAGAGAGAAGACUUUGUCCUCACUUGGUCUUCCCAGCAUCUAGCCCUGACCAAGGAGAGGAAGGGCUCGGUGAACACUGAUUGGCUAAGGUUCUACCUUAGCAGGCUAUCCUACCAAGUAGCGAGGAUGCUUUUCUCCCCGCCUGAAGCGUCAAGUGCAAUUGUGAACACGCACCAAGUGCUCAGUAAGGGAUGUGAACCUGUUUUGUACAAAUUGGUGGCUUGUUUGGGUUCUUCAGAAUUGUGGCUUCUGAUUCACUGGAGGUGGCUGUGCCCCUACCCCGCAACCCCCUGAAGUGGCUGGCAUUGGUGCAAAUGAGGCUGUUGAACCUGAUCGUGUUCUCUCUGGCCUUGGACCUGAGUGCUGCAGAGAGAGAGAGAGAGGGAGACUCUGAUGGCUCUGAAGAUCAUGGCCCUUCCCAUAUGAGGUUCUAGGCAGUAUUCCUGAGCCGGUCUCUUGCUCACUCCCCAGCCCUUUUGAAUACCCCUUUUCGGUAUGAAUUUGAUGAUCUAAUUUGACUAUCUC
rnacentral:lncRNA from 1 species